AGUUCCGGGAUAGCCAUGGAGACGGAGAGUUGAAGUAAAAAGGUAGCAAAGACCAUGCUUCUUACUUUAUGCAUUGAGAGAGGAUCUCUGCUUGGAGCUGCACUCACCAAUUCAUCUCAAUUGGCGGGGUCAGUGAAUUCUAAAGACUGAUCUGUCUCUACCUCCCCAGGAGAAGACUACAAGUUCAGGCUUCAAAACCCAGCACUUUUACAUCUGUUCUGGUGACUGAACUUCUGUUCUGGUCCUUCUUGGGUGAGAGACUGAAUUUCUAUUUGCCUGUGAUGGAAUGUGUCUCUGUGUGCGGGGAAGCACCUCAUUGUCUAAUAAGCAGGAACGUCAGUGAUAGCACACUCAGAGUUGUCAGGGAAAAGGCACCGGAUUCUGCAAAUGGAAUCACGGUAACAAUUCCCUGGAAACCAAGGCCACACUGCUCUUUACUGCCAUCUUCUAGAGUCUGGUGGUUAGUCCGAAGUCAGAGGCAGAAAGAGUACACACUAAAGCUUGUCUAUAUGCCACAACUGGUGCAAGAGUGAUCUCCACCAUGGAGUGAAUAAUAUCAACAUCUAAUAAGGAAAUAUUUCCUAUGGGAAAUUUUCACUUGAAGAAUGGAUGCUGAAGUCACUCUUGGGAAUAACAGUCUGCCUGCUUGCAGGUCACACUACAACAUGGACACACAUCCUGGUUAAUGGAUGGGAUGUGUCUGUACGUUGGUAUUAGGCCCAUAGACAUCCUUCUGUUUAUAUAGCCACACAUGGAUUUUCAUGGUUGGUGAUUGCUCAAUGUGUCCUCUGCAUCCCUGUUGCCAAGUUCUUUAUGUAACUUCCCAUUCCACAACAGUGCUCCAAGGUAGGACAGAUAAACUUUUUCCUGCAAAGUGCCACAGACGACUAUUUCAGGCAGCAAGAGCCAUACGGCUGCUUUCUUCCAGUUAUAACACGAAAGGAGCAAAAAAGGCAGACAGAGAUAGUAUGCAAACAAAUGGGCAUGGCCACGUUCCAAUAAAACUUUAUUUAUC
rnacentral:lncRNA from 1 species